AUUGAACGCUGGCGGCAUGCCUUACACAUGCAAGUCGAACGGUAACAGGUCUUCGGAUGCUGACGAGUGGCGAACGGGUGAGUAAUAUAUCGGAACGUGCCCAGUCGUGGGGGGAUAACGCAGCGAAAGCUGUGCUAAUACCGCAUACGAUCUAUGGAUGAAAGCGGGGGAUCGCAAGACCUCGCGCGAUUGGAGCGGCCGAUAUCAGAUUAGGUAGUUGGUGGGGUAAAGGCCCACCAAGCCAACGAUCUGUAGCUGGUCUGAGAGGACGACCAGCCACACUGGAACUGAGACACGGUCCAGACUCCUACGGGAGGCAGCAGUGGGGAAUUUUGGACAAUGGGCGCAAGCCUGAUCCAGCAAUGCCGCGUGCAGGAUGAAGGCCUUCGGGUUGUAACUGCUUUUGUACGGAACGAAAGGCUCUGGUUAAUACCUGGGCUCAUGACGGUACUGUAAGAAUAAGCACCGGCUAACUACGUGCC
rnacentral:rRNA from 1 species